UACGUAGGGGGCAAGCGUUGUUCGGAAUUACUGGGCGUAAAGGGCUCGUAGGCGGCCAACUAAGUCAGACGUGAAAUCCCCCGGCUCAACCGGGGAACUGCAUUGCAAACUGGUCUGGCUAGAGUGCAGGAGAGGGAAGUGGAAUUCCCGGUGUAGCGGUGAAAUGCGUAGAUAUUCGGAAGAACACCAGUGGCGAAGGCGGCUCACUGGACCGGUAUUGACGCUGAGGUGCGAAAGCGUGGGGAGCAAACAGG
rnacentral:rRNA from 1 species